GUGCGCUUUCCUCGAGGCGGACUGAGAAGCACUGGGAGGAGCGGGCGCCAGCCAGCAUUAUUUUCUUACGAGGGGUGGGGAGGUGGGAUGGGGGGUGGAGAGGACGGGGGAGGGGGGCGGCAGGCGGAGCAACAGCUCCGAGCCCUGGGGGGAGGGUCCUGGAGCCCGGGGGGCCGUCGCCCGCAUCCCCCACCUCCCGCCGCGAGAGUCGGAGCGUGGCUCCCGCCGAAGCCAAGCCGAGCCUUCAGCGCGUCCGCGCAGGGGGCGGGGGCGAGGACCGGUGGGGCCCUUCGCCUGUCGCCUCCCCUUCGUCCCCGAGCCGAGCGGCACUGGCCUGCACCCGCCGGUCCCGGGCUCUGUCGCGCUGGCUCCGCGAUCCCCGGGCUCCUCGCUGCCGGCUGCGGGCCCACCGCGGCCAGGCGGAGGGCGUAAUCCGGCGCGGCGCCGCCACUGCUCUGCCCCGACGCAGGCGGGCUUCUCUCGUGGAGCACGGCGUCCAGCGCUGCAGGGCCGGCGAUCAGAAGCAGCCGGCCGACAGCGGCCCGCCGAGGAGCCGGGGCGCCCCGGGGACGCUCCGGGGGGGGCCUCGGGAGCCCGGCUCCGGGCGCGCCAUGCACGCCUCGGGCCCUGCGCCGCUCCGGCCGCUCGCUCCGCUCCUCCCUUCUCGCCCGCUCGCCGCCGCCGGAGCGCCCUCCGCAUCCCCUCCUCCCGCCGCCUCCCCGCCCCCCGCGCCGCUCCGGCUUCGGCUCACAGCGGCGCGCUGCCGCCUCCGCCCUCGGCCGGGCCGCGGCCCCAGCCUUUGCGCGGCGCGGGCAUCCUCGGGCCCGGCCGAGAUCUCGGGGACCCCUGCUCCCCUUCCUCACCUAAAAUCCGCGCUGCGCCGCGCCCCCUCCCUCCCUGGAGCCGGGUCCAGCCCGCUGUCCCUCGCAGGACCACGCUGGAGGGCGGUCCUCCCCAACCCCCGGUUUGGGUCCCUGAGCCCCCAGUCCUAGCUCCCCUCUUUUGUAUCACCUCUACUUCCCCUCCCCCAUUCAACCCAACUUCAGCCCUGGCCCUGAGCCCCCCUUCCCUGGCCCGGCUGGAUUGGCCGUUUCCUGAGCUGUCAGACUCAAGUCCGGCGCUCUCAUUGGGCGAUUCACUGGCCGGGCGACCAUGCCAAAAGAGGGCGCGCCGGGCGGGGGGCGCCCGGGCAGCGACUUCGGGAGGGAACCCGAGGCAGAGUCCCUGGAGAGCCCCGAGGGGCCCCAGAGCCAGACCCAGAAAUGGACUGGGAGAUGCAGAGACUGAGGACCUCUGAGGCAAAGGAAGACCGCGAAGGGAAAGAGGGAGAUGCAGUGGCUCUCUCCUCAGACCUUCUAACAGGAGCUCCGAGGCCUGAGAGAGAUGCCUCCUCCCCCGACCCCCUCUGCUGGUCAUCUCUUUGCAGACUGGAAGAUGAAUCUUGCCAGAGCUACAGAUUGGGAGGAGAAAAAUUCCAAGAGAUCUGACUAAAGUAACCCUUGAGGAAUCGUCCAGCCUUUGAGUAACCCAUGAUUAGCUAAAUCAUAAAAAGAAACGUGAAAUCAGUCAACAAAAACUCUAGAGCGCCCUCAAUGUGCAAAGCACUGUUAGGUGCUACCACCCUGGGAGAGAGAUGACCAGACUCAGGACCAGGCACUUACUGUCAAGAAGGGAGCAGAGCUGGCCCUUCCCACCAGGUCCAGCCAAGUUCAGUGCAGUCAGAACUGCAAGAUCGUGCUAUGUUCAGAGAGAGGCAGAUUGCUUCCCACUGUGAGGGUCAGAGAGACUCUGGAGGCACAAUCCAAGUCUAGCAUGGAGAAAGAAAAGGGAAGAUGGACUCAUGUUUAUUUAGCUGCUGUGUACUGUAUGUAAAUAUUUUGUUGUCAAUGUCAAAAGAGGACAUUACAGUAAACUUAAUCUAGAGAUCUUAAUUGCCUUUUAUUUGUGUCAAUCAGGCAACACUUCAUUCUAUAAAACAGACUGUUUGGAAGAGCUGAGCAGAGGAAUUUGACAUGACAGACAGAAAAGGACUGAAGAAGUAGAAACAGAACAAAGAGCACAUAGGUUGUUUCAAAGUUACUUUCCUUGUAAAGGUUAAAACAGGGGACUUAAGAUAGCUACAACUGACCCAUUUGAUGUGUUUUCCCCCACCAUCACCAUCCCCGCUGGCCACCUCCUCCCCACCACCUGAAUCUUUGGAAGGUCAGAUAAUAACUGGGUUGUGUCUUGGAGGUCAGGAACUUUAGCAUGAGUAAUUCCAUUUUGGUCUGGUCUAUUGGAACUAGUACAGGAGCUCAG
rnacentral:lncRNA from 1 species